UACGAGAGCCCCAAGCGUUAUCCGGAAUUACUGGGCGUAAAGGGUGUGUAGGCGGUUUUGUUAGUCUCUUGUUAAAGCUCCCGGCUUAACCGGGAAAAGGCAGGGGAAACGGCAUAACUAGCGGAUGCGAGAGGUUUAUGGAACUCAUGGUGUAGGGGUGAAAUCCGUUGAUAUCAUGGGGAACACCAAAUGCGAAGGCAAUAAACUGGCGCACUCCGGACGCUGAAACACGAAAGCAUGGGUAG
rnacentral:rRNA from 1 species